rnacentral:rRNA from 1 species
UACGAAGGUGGCAAGCGUUACUCGGAAUUACUAGGCGUAAAGGGCAGGUAGGUGGUUCGGUUAGUCUGUUGUGAAAGCUCCUAGCUUAACUGGGAGAGGCCAACAGAUACUGCCGGACUUGGGUAUAGGAGAGGGUACUGGAAUUCCCGGUGUAGCGGUGAAAUGCGCAGAGAUCGGGAGGAACACCAAUGGCGAAAGCAGGUACCUGGACUAUUACUGACACUCAGCUGCGAAAGCUAGGGGAGCAAACAGG